rnacentral:rRNA from 1 species
UACGUAGGGGGCAAGCGUUGUCCGGAAUUAUUGGGCGUGAAGAGCGUGUAGGCGGUCCGGUAAGUCAGCUGUGAAAGUCAAGGGCUCAACCCUUGAAUGCCGGUUGAUACUGUCGGGCUAGAGUCCGGAAGAGGCGAGUGGAAUUCCCGGUGUAGCGGUGAAAUGCGCAGAUAUCGGGAGGAACGCCGGUGGCGAAAGCGACUGUCUGGGGUGCCUGUGACGCUGAGGCGCGAAAGCCAGGGGAUCAAACGGG